UUGAUUUCUAAAAACAUACGUUGUAUCUUAAUGCCAUCGUUUAUUUAGGUAAAUAGGACAAUCAGUUAUCUACCUACUGAUAAAUUCCAAACAAGCGGAUAGUAUUGUGCGAAUAUUGCUAACCGGAUGAAUUCAAUGAAUCAUCUAAAUGAAGAACAGUAUUAUUGAUUUAAUAAUUUUUAUAUGGGUAUAUUCAGGAACAGGAGAAAUCAAGAACGUUACGGCCUCCUCCAACUGAUUCUCCAAGAGGAGGUAAAUGGUAAAAGCGGACCGAGAAGAAGACGCAUUUCCUGGCUUCAAAAUUUGCGAAAGUGGUAUAAUACGACUACCACUGAACUGUUCCGCGCUGCGGUAAACAAAGUCAAGAUAGCCAUGAUGAUCGCCAACAUCCGGAACGGAUAGGUACUUUAAGAAGAAGAUAUUUUUCUAAUUGAAAAAAAAAUCAAAAUUUUUCUCAACAACAUCAUUUUUAUUUAUUACACUUUUAUUAGAUAUAGGGCCGGGUGUUCGAACGCUAAUCAAGAAUGAUCAUUAUCAAAUAUUUAACCAUAGGACUUUUCAUCGAUUGUCAUUUGUUUCGAGCUUCUGUCAUGUGUCACAUAAUAUUAAUAUAUCUAAGUCAUACGUCUUUGGUUUGUAUCAUUGGUACUUAUAACGUAUGACGUGGAUAUAUUAAUAUUAUGUGACACAUGACAGAAGCUCGAAACAAAUGACUGUGAAUGAAAAGCCCUAUUGUCACCAACUGUCAAUGUCAACUUAUAUUGGGUUGCUGAAAGCAUAAUUAUUGAUUACAAUUAUGAAAUUAGUUAAUCAAGUAUGUUAAUAAUUGUUAUGUUAAUUGAUUAACUAAUCUCAUAAUUAUAAACAAUUCUGUUUUCAACAAUCCAAUCAAAGUUGACAUUGACAGUUGGUGACAGUAAUUAAAUAUUUGAUAGUGAUCAUUGUUGAUUAGUAUUCGAACAACCGGCCCUAAGUCUUUAUAUCACACAGAAGCGGAGGUCCAUGGCCAAUUUCAAUAAAUCCUAAAAAUAAGUUCUUAUACAAUUUCUAAUCCGCCAUAAUGAUCACAAUCCGCGUUCUUUGGAUACUAUUUGUUAUACCGACUUACGGGAUAUUGCACAGUACUGCCAUCAGAUGAAAAAAAGAGUGUGUGUACUUUGAACGCACGGAAGAAGUAAUACUUCUAUGAUUUUAACGAAAUACAGUUUAUUAAUAUUUACUUUAAAUAUUAAACUAAUUUUAAUACUUUCCAAAAAAAUUCCUUAAAAUAAUAACAACAAGCUGAAAAUGCGAGCAUUAUCAUAACGAAAACUUUGUUUAUUUACGUAUUUUAAUUCAUAAUAUGGAAAAUUGCUAUUAUGAAAAGUACCUAGUUUAGAAUUAAUAAUUAUGUUUUAAUGUGCAAUUAUACAGUACGUAAAUCGUUCAGCUGGACAUAGGGAAUAUACAUUGAGAGAAUUGUGGCAACUGCGCUAACCUGUGUUAGUUGAAGCUUCUGUUCGAUUAUGAGUUUUUGGUGCGAUAGAGCUGUUAGAACGAAUAGAAUGUGUUGGUUUUGAAGCAAGGCUGUCCAUAAAUAAAUCAAAAACAAAGUUUACUUUAACUAAUUGUUAAAAUUUUUUUUAUUUAAACAUUAAUUUCAAAACUAACAGUUUUCCCAUUCCCUUAGGCCAAAAAUAUUUAGCUACUACAUUGUCAUAUUUUGACGUUUAUUUGUAUCAGUCGACAUGAGUUGUCAAUUUUAAGGUUAAUUCCCCUUAAUACUAACAACCAUAUUGUCAUCGAGAGAGCUCAGUUGCCACAAUGAUCUCAAUAUAAUACAAUGUAUGUAUUUAUGUAUCUAAGUAUAUACAAUGUAUGUUCCUAUGUCCAGCUGAAUGAUUUACGUACUGUAUCAUUCUAAUUUAAAUGUUAUGAACUAUAAAGGUAGUUUACUCUUGAUUGAAAUUCAUAUUUUUUAUAUACCUCCUAUAAAAUUAAUAAAAUUUUAUAUAUGAUGGUUGCAUCAUAAAUCUUAGAACAUGAAGAGCUUUUUAUGAAGAAUAGCUUUUCUUCGUCAAAUUAAAAAUAAAAGAGUUAUAAAUGAAAAUGUUGUUGGUAUCCAUAAUAUGAGAAAAAUCUUCAAAUUUUUUUUCCGUUAGAAGGAUGUAAUUGCACAUAUCGGACCAUAAUUUUUUGUACCAAACAAUAUUAUUUCGUAUACUGUCGGUUCGCUAAAAUCAGACACAACUGGCUAGUGAUUUUAGUCAAUAAUUUUGCCAAUUUGGCAAAAAAAAUAUUAGUAAUUAGUUAAUAAUUACUAAGUAAUAAGUAAUUUUGGCAAUUUUUGUCAAAAUUCGCAAAAAACUAAAAAAUUACCUACUAAAAUCACUAGCCAGUUGUGUCGAGUUUAGCGAACCGACUAUAUUUUAAUUUCAUAGCAAACGGAGCAGUCCAUUUAUCAUAAAGGGGAGGCCGUAUACUCGUAUAAACCUUUUUAAAGCCGUUAAUAAAUUAUUUCUUUUAAAAUAUACUCAAAUUGUAUUUUCGAACAUCUUAUUUAUUUUAUAUAAUAAUUAAAUUCACUAUCAAAUGUCA